UGGCCAUGGCUCUGCACCCACCACCGAGUCCCAGCACUCAUCAUCCAUCACCAAAGCCCAGCACCCAUCAUCCAUCACCCAUGGCCAUGGCUCUACACCCAUCAUCCACGGCUGCUGCUCCACACCCAUCACCCAUCAUCCAUCACCCUUGGCCAUGGCUCCGCACCCAUCACCCACCACCGAGUCCCAUCACUGAUCACCCAUGACCAUGGCUCCACACUCACCACCAAGGCUCCACACCCAUUGCCCAUCACCAAGGUCCAUCACCCAUGGCCAUGGCUCCGCACCCACCACCCACCACUGAGUCCCAGCACCCAUCACCCACCACCGAGGCCCAUCAUCCAUCACCCAUGGCCAUGGCUCUACAUCCCUCACCCAUGGCUGCUGCUCCACACCCACCACCCAUUACUGAGUCUCAGCACCCAUCACCAAAGCCCACCACCCAUCACUGAGUCCCAGCACCCACCACCCAUCACCCAUGGCCAUGGCUCCACACCCACCACCCAUCACUGAGUCCCA
rnacentral:lncRNA from 1 species